CCUACGGGAGGCAGCAGUAGGGAAUCUUCGACAAUGGACGAAAGUCUGACCGAGCAACGCCGCGUGAGUGAAGAAGGGUUUCGGAUCGUAAAGCUCUGUUGUUAGAGAAGAACGAGGACGUUAGUAACUGAACUUCCUCUGACGGUAACUAACCAGAAAGCCACGGCUAACUACGUGCCAGCAGCCGCGGUAAUACGUAGGUGGCAAGCGUUGUCCGGAUUUAUUGGGCGUAAAGCGAGUGCAGGCGGUUUCAUAAGUCUGAUGUGAAAGCCUUCGGCUCAACCGGGGAAGUGCAUUAGAAACUGGUGAACUUGAGUGCAGAAGAGGAGAGUGGAACUCCAUGUGUAGCGGUGGAAUGCGUAGAUAUAUGGAAGAACACCAGUGGCGAAGGCGGCUCUCUGGUCUGCAACUGACGCUGAGGCUCGAAAGCAUGGGUAGCGAACAGGAUUAGAUACCCGUGUAGUC
rnacentral:rRNA from 1 species